UGCCGGACUGGCGGAAUGGCAGACGCGAAGGAUUCAAAAUCCUUUUCCCGCAAGGGAGUCCCGGUUCAAGUCCGGGGUUCGGUAA
rnacentral:tRNA from 1 species